rnacentral:rRNA from 1 species
GAUGAACGCUAGCUACAGGCUUAACACAUGCAAGUCGAGGGGCAGCACAAGGCGGCAAUGCUGAGGUGGCGACCGGCGCACGGGUGCGUAACGCGUAUCCAACCUUCCCGUUACUCUUGGAUAGCCUUCCGAAAGGGAGAUUAAUACAAGAUGGUGUUGAAAUUCCGCAUGUUAUUUCAACUAAAGAUUUAUCGGUAACGGAUGGGGAUGCGUGACAUUAGAUAGAUGGCGGGGUAACGGCCCACCAUGUCCACGAUGUCUAGGGGUUCUGAGAGGAAGGUCCCCCCACACUGGAACUGAGACACGGUCCAGACUCCUACGGGAGGCAGCAGUGAGGAAUAUUGGUCAAUGGAGGCAACUCUGAACCAGCCAAGUAGCGUGCAGGACGACGGCCCUAUGGGUUGUAAACUGCUUUUAUGCGGGGAUAAAUGAUCCUACGUGUAGGAUUUUGCAGGUACCGCAUGAAUAAGGCCGNUAAUCCGUGCCAGCAGCCG